GAACUUCCGUGCUUGUAAGUUGUUUUCGACGAUAGAAUAUCCGAUUCGACGAUCGGCUCCGUUAGGUAUAAUCUACCAUAUUGGAACUAUCUAGAAACCAAAUUUUAUAAUUUUUUGACAUCAUUUACUAAGCCAUCGAAAGGUCCCAAAAAUGACUAUUUUAACGGCCGAUGCGGCACGUUUUUAAGUUCAACGGUGUAGAAGUAUCCAAAUUACAUGAAAAUUUAAUAGAAAAUUCUACUUAAUGUCAAUAGCAAGAUCAAUACUUCCGAUUUGGAAUUUGAGUCCUUUAUCAUUAUUUUUUAUGAGAU
rnacentral:lncRNA from 1 species